CCAAGCUGGUUUUCUGCGAAUCUGUUUUAGCAAAUUAUUUAUUUUAUUAUUAGUAGGUAUAGCACUGAAUAUUUUUUUUUCCAUAAAAGGAGUAAUAAUUUACCUAACCAGAAAAAUUAAACCCCAAAAGGGCAAAAAGUUAGGGAAAAAAACCGACUUUUUGCCAAAAGGGAUAAAGGCCAAAGGGGAACCGCCCCAAACCGUAAAAAAAAAAAGAAGGGCCCCCCAUUUAAUUUAAGGGGGAAAUUCCAAAGGUUUUUUCUGGGGCGGAACCUCGGCUGGGGCUAGAAAAGGGCCCAUGUGCUCCCCAUUUAAAAUUAAAGGAAAAUUCCCAGGGNNGNNGGGGUUGCUGGGGUNGNGNGUGGCGNGGGUUGUGUUGGUGGGGGUUGCGAAG
rnacentral:rRNA from 1 species